AGCAGUCGCUGCGGGAAUACGGAGGAUCCAAGCGUUAUCCGGAAUCAUUGGGUUUAAAGGGUCCGUAGGCGGUCUUGUAAGUCAGUGGUGAAAGCCCAUCGCUCAACGGUGGAACGGCCAUUGAUACUGCAGGACUUGAAUUAUUGGGAAGUAACUAGAAUAUGUAGUGUAGCGGUGAAAUGCUUAGAGAUUACAUGGAAUACCAAUUGCGAAGGCAGGUUACUACCAAUUGAUUGACGCUGAUGGACGAAAGCGUGGGUAGCGAACAGGAUUAGAUACCCCUGUAGUCCCUGUCUCUUAUAC
rnacentral:rRNA from 1 species